GAUGAACGCUAGCGGCAGGCCUAACACAUGCAAGUCGAGGGGCAGCACAGGUAGCAAUACUGGGUGGCGACCGGCGGAUGGGUGCGUAACGCGUAUGCAACCUACCAUUGAUUGGGGCGAUAGCCCGAAGAAAUUCGGAUUAAUACUCCAUAAUAUUCAUCAAAGGACAUCUUUUAUUGAAUUAAAGCUUUUGUCGAUCAAUGAUGGGCAUGCGUGACAUUAGUUAGUUGGUGAGGUAACGGCUCACCAAAACGAUGAUGUCUAGGGGUUCUGAGAGGAUUAUCCCCCACACUGGUACUGAGACACGGACCAGACUCCUACGGGAGGCAGCAGUGAGGAAUAUUGGUCAAUGGACGCAAGUCUGAACCAGCCAUGCCGCGUGCAGGAUGACGGCCCUAUGGGUUGUAAACUGCUUUUCCACGGGAGAACCCUCCGACGUGUCGGAGACUGACGGUACCGUGGGAAUAACAUCGGCUAACUCCGUG
rnacentral:rRNA from 1 species